rnacentral:rRNA from 1 species
UGGGGAAUCUUGCACAAUGGGCGAAAGCCUGAUGCAGCAACGCCGCGUGCGGGAAGACAGCCCUAGGGUUGUAAACCGCUUUCAGCAGGGAAGAAACUGACGGUACCUGCAGAAGAAGAUGCGGCCAACUACGUGCCAGCAGCCGCGGUGACACGUAGGCAUCAAGCGUUAUCCGGAUUUAUUGGGCGUAAAGAGCUCGUAGGCGGUUCGGUAAGUCGGGUGUGAAAACUCUGGGCUCAACCCAGAGAGGCCACUCGAUACUGCUGUGACUAGAGUGCGGUAGGGGAGCGGGGAAUUCCUGGUGUAGCGGUGAAAUGCGCAGAUAUCAGGAGGAACACCAGUGGCGAAGGCGCCGCUCUGGGCCGUAACUGACGCUGAGGAGCGAAAGCAUGGGUAGCAAACAGGAUUAGAUACCCUGGUAGUCCACGCCGUAAACGAUGAGUGCUAGUCGUCGGCAGGCAUGCCUGUCGGUGACGCAGCUAACGCA